AGUCGAGCGAGUCUGCCUUGAAGAUCGGAGUGCUUGCACUCUGUGAAACAAGAUACAGGCUAGCGGCGGACGGGUGAGUAACACGUGGGUAACCUGCCCAAGAGAUCGGGAUAACACCUGGAAACAGAUGCUAAUACCGGAUAACAACAGAUGAUGCCUAUCAACUGUUUAAAAGAUGGUUCUGCUAUCACUCUUGGAUGGACCUGCGGUGCAUUAGCUAGUUGGUAGGGUAACGGCCUACCAAGGCGAUGAUGCAUAGCCGAGUUGAGAGACUGAUCGGCCACAUUGGGACUGAGACACGGCCCAAACUCCUACGGGAGGCAGCAGUAGGGAAUCUUCCACAAUGGACGCAAGUCUGAUGGAGCAACGCCGCGUGAGUGAAGAAGGGUUUCGGCUCGUAAAGCUCUGUUGUUGGUGAAGAAGGACAGGGGUAGUAACUGACCUUUGUUUGACGGUAAUCAAUUAGAAAGUCACGGCUAACUACGUGCCAGCAGCCGCGGUAAUACGUAGGUGGCAAGCGUUGUCCGGAUUUAUUGGGCGUAAAGCGAGUGCAGGCGGCUCGAUAAGUCUGAUGUGAAAGCCUUCGGCUCAACCGGAGAAUUGCAUCAGAAACUGUCGAGCUUGAGUACAGAAGAGGAGAGUGGAACUCCAUGUGUAGCGGCGAAAUGCGUAGAUAUAUGGAAGAACACCGGUGGCGAAGGCGGCUCUCUGGUCUGUUACUGACGCUGAGGCUCGAAAGCAUGGGUAGCGAACAGGAUUAGAUACCCUGGUAGUCCAUGCCGUAAACGAUGAGUGCUAAGUGUUGGGAGGUUUCCGCCUCUCAGUGCUGCA
rnacentral:rRNA from 1 species